rnacentral:lncRNA from 1 species
UUCUCCCUCUACAAAUCCCUAUUCACCUCUCCUAACCACCAAUAACCCCUCUACACCAAACGUCCCACCUGUUACACACUAUCACCUACUAUCUUCCAUUAAUCCCCACUAUCAUUAACCUUCAACUCACUGCAAGAUAACCCAGUUAUCACCUACCAUCUUAACCCUUACCCCCUUAUCACCGAACAUCCCAUUUAUCACCGGUUACCUUCCACCAUUCCGCCACUCACCUAACCUACCCCAUAACCGCCGAUAACUCCCUCACCACCCUUCACCGCUGAUACCCCUUACACCCACCACCAUCCGCCGUACACCACUAAUCAACCGCUACGCUCACCUCCCCACCUCGCAGUAAACCAUAACCCACCUUUCUUCUCACCUCGCUCACCCACGGUAACCUAACACUUCCACGGUUCAACCUUUCACUUCCGCCUGCUUCAACCUCCACGGUAACCCAUCUACCUACGCCGACACUUCUCCUCCCCGCCUCACUCGCCGCUGACCACCCAAAUCCUUUCUCCCCACCGCAUAUCAUCCACAAUAUUUCACUGUUACACAUCGGGAAUUCGUUUUGGGAUUUCACUUUCAACCGAAAAUUUCUCAAUUCUUCUUGCUUACUUCGAAUCUCAGUUUUACAGGAUGUCAGGUGAAGGCUCCUCGUUAGGCACAGGCGAGGUGCUUCUACGAGAUCUCAGGGGGCUGUUUAGGAGCAGCCGGCGAAUUUACCACUGAGAAUGGUCAGUUAUCGUGGAGCAGGGUUUGAGAUGAGGAGUUAGAUGAUGAGGAGGCAGCAAGGAUGACAGCUUAUAUCUUUUGUUUAUUUUUAUCUUUAUGCUGUUUUUGAUCCUCGUUUGUUGGUUUGUACUUAAAUACGUUAAACAGGUUGGUUGGGAUUUUGGGGAUGGUUGACUUUUGGUUGUUGGAUGCUUGCACUAACACUUAGUUGGUAUUAGUAGCCGUUUUCGUUCGCGUGUCCGAGGUUAGGAGUUGUUUGCUGAGCGCGUAUCGAAUUGGAGGGCUUAUGUGGAAACGACUGGCACUUUGACAGUCUCACAUACUCAGCUAAGUCGUUUUCCUUUUUGUUGUUGUUGUAUAAUUUUUGUUUUUUAUUUAUUUCGUUUGUAGUUUUUAUUUUUUUUUAGGUAGUUGUUGAGGCGUAUUUUCGUUCUUGCAUUAGGGACAAUGCAAUCUCUAAGUGUGGGGAUGGGAUACAUGUAAAUAAUCGAGUCUUAAAUAUGAAAAAUACAAAAAAAUUUAAAAGUUGAAAAAUCCAAAAAAAAAAAAAAAAUUGAAAAAAUAGAAAAUGUCUUUCGAAUAAAAAAAGAAGUUUGCAUUUUUAAAACGGAAAAUGAUAGAAAAGAUGAAUUUUUGCUCGGGGUCGAAUAAUAAUAAUAUGAGAUUAUAAUGAAUCGAACUUGCGUCUAGUUAGGGAUGUGUGGAUAGGCCCGGGUUUGGUUUUAAGUCCCUUUGAGCUAAUAUACCUUAAUUGUCAGUCUGCUAGUGGGUUUUCGCCUGGGAUAUAUGGGAAGUUAAAACUGCCGAUAAUAGUAUAAGGGGCACCGUUAUAAGUUAAAACCGUUAGAGUUUGUGAUCAUGCGAAAAAAAAAUAUAGAAUAAAAAGUGAGCUAGAAACUAAAUGAAAGUAAUGCAUUCCUAUGUAGUUUGGGUUGAGGAUAGCGACUCUACAGCCGAAUUACCGCUAGGGUGUGUGAAAUCGACCGUGCUAAAAAAAAAUAAUAAUAAAUAAAUAAAUAAGUACCGAAACCUAAGUAAUCUGUGGUUGGGGAUAGCGACUCUAUAGCCGGAUUGCCACUUGGUUAGGGAAAGCACCGUCUAGUCUCACGAAAAAAAAAAAAUCUGAUUGUAAACUCUUUUGGUUUUGAUAUAAGACGGUUGGGAAUUGGUCAAAUGAUUGUUCCUUUAGUCCUAUAAGCUUGAGGUGGGAGUAGGUGGACCGUAAAUUCUGGUGUGAGACCCUAGGUGGACUGACCGCACUUAAAUUAAAUUCACAUGAUAAGGGCUUAGGAUUGGAUUCGGGUUUAAGGGGACAAGUAUAUUCGCAAUCGCAGCUAACGCAAGCCUUGGUUUUAAUUAAAUAUACCUAUGCUUUUGACCCGAGUGAUUAUUUAUCUAUGAUUCCGUUGCAUAAUUCUUUUUCGAGGACGAAAAAAGAGUAAGUGUGGGGAUGUUUGAUGUAUUGCAAAAUACAUCAUUUAUUCGUGUAAAGUUUGUAUAGUUUUCGUUAUAUUUAGUUUUGAUUUUCGUUAGAAUAUGUAUACUAUUGAUCAAAUCGUGUUUUGCAGGUCUUGAUGCUCAAAUAUGCGAGAAACCGAGUAAAACGAGUUAAAAUGUUGAAGUGUCAAGUCUUGAAUCGUGUUGGAAAGGUCGAGGAGUUGAAAUAGAGCUUAAAAGCUGAAGAGUCACUUUCUGGCACCCCAUCACCCACUGAGCAAGUUUCUGGCACCUGGCGAGAGUCUGAAGUUAGUUAAUGAGCUGAAAAACAAGGUGGCACCCCACCACCCAGUCCCUGAUUUUCUGGCGCCCAGCCAGAGCGUUCUGAUUGGUAAUUAUUACGAAUUUAGUAAAGGGUUUUUAUGGAAAGUCAUAUAUAACCAUCAAAAACGUGGGUAAACCCUAAUUUUUCGACUAAGGGGACUUCUUGGGCGAUUGUUGAGCAUUCUUGGAGCGUUUUUGGAGAUUGUGAAGCCUAGGAAUCAUCGGUACAAGUUCGGGGAAGAAGACUUGAAGAUCUAAUCGGGUUUUCUAGUUCUUUGUUCUUGACUUUUCUUACGAAACUUGUUACAAUGAAUUCUUUGUUGAACUUCUUUGAAUUGUUUUCACGUUUAAACAUGCUCGGCUAGAUUUAUUAACCACCUAGACUUGAU